GGGGGCGAACUGGAUUCGACCGGAUAGUUGAAGUGUAAGUGGCGUGUCGUGGUUGAUCAGUUGGCCACGUUAAAAGCUGAUCAUCAAUUUAUUUGCCGAAGGUAACUUCGCAAUGGCUGCGUAGCACGUAGCCCCGACUGCGGGACUUUGCCGGAGAGACCCAAAAGUCGGCCGCAAUUCCGGCUAGUUUCAAGUCACGUCGAGCACGCUUGAAGCGAAACUAAGUUCUCGGAUGGGAUGGUCAAUAGCCCGUCAGUUGGCGCUUGAUCAUCCGACAUCAAAUAACUGACUACAUACGUAGAAGCUUGCAUGGAAAUAUUACGGGACGGGGGUUCGAUUCCCCCCGCCUCCACUC
rnacentral:tmRNA from 1 species